rnacentral:rRNA from 1 species
CAGCAGCCGCGGUAAUACGGAGGAUGCAAGCGUUAUCCGGAUUCAUUGGGUUUAAAGGGUGCGCAGGCGGAGAUAUAAGUCAGUGGUGAAAAACUGCCGCUCAACGGUAGUCUUGCCAUUGAUACUGUUUCUCUUGAGUAUGGAUGAGGUAGGCGGAAUGUGCAGUGUAGCGGUGAAAUGCAUAGAUAUUGCACGGAACACCAAUUGCGAAGGCAGCUUACUGGGCCAUUACUGACGCUCAGGCACGAAAGCGUGGGGAUCAAACAGGAUUAGAUACCCUGGUAGUCCACGCAGUAAACGAUGUUCACUCGCUGUUUGCGAUAUACUGUAAGCGGCUUAGUUAAAGCAUUAAGUGAACCACCUGGGGAGUACGAUCGCAAGGUUGAAACUCAAAGGAAUUGACGG